CAAUAGCUCAGUUGGUAGAGCACUGGUCUCCAAAACCAGGUGUCGGGGGUUCGAGUCCCUCUUGG
rnacentral:tRNA from 1 species